UACGUAGGGGGCGAGCGUUGUCCGGAAUCAUUGGGCGUAAAGAGCUCGUAGGCGGUUCAGUAAGUCGGCUGUGAAAGUCCGAGGCUCAACCUCGGAACUGCAGUCGAAACUAUUGUGACCCGAGUCCGGUAGAGGAGAAUGGAAUUCCCGGUGCAGCGGUGAAAUGCGCAGAUAUCGGGAGGAAUACCAGUAGCGAAGGCGGUUCUCUGGGCCGGUACUGACGCUGAGGAGCGAAAGCGUGGGGAGCAAACAGG
rnacentral:rRNA from 1 species